rnacentral:rRNA from 1 species
UUGCAGCCGAGCCUCAUCUGUCCAGCGCAGAUCGACUUAUUGAUCUGGGCGUAGCCGGUUUGUUAAGCGAGAGUGAAAGCCCCGGGCUCAACCUGGGAACUGUAUUUCGAACUGGCAAACUAGAGUGUGAUAGAGGGUGG